GAAAAAUUAUGGAUGCAUCAUUUCAGAAAUUUUAAGUAUACUGAAUUGUUCAUGACUUUUGACCAACUUUUUUUGUAAGAUUUUUUUGUGAAAUGGAUCACUGAUUCCCAGGUCUUAUUGAAAGCAUUUUUUUUUUAAAUUCAUUUUUCAAAAGGUAGGGUCUUAUCAAGGUACUAGAGUGUCCUGAUAGGGUAGGAGUUCUUCCAAUAUAAGAUAUCAGCACAUCAUUUUUCAUUCCGUCUCAAGACAUAUUGUAUAUUUAUCAUAGCUACUAAGAGACA
rnacentral:lncRNA from 1 species